rnacentral:lncRNA from 1 species
AUGAUUACUAUUAUUAUUAACAUUAUUAUUACUAUUAUUAUUAAUAUUAUUGUUAUUAUUAUUAUUAACAUUAUUAAUAUUAUUAAUAUUAUUAUUGUUAUUAUUAUUAUUAUUAAUAUUAUUAUUGUUAUUAUUAUUAGUAUUAAUAUUAUUGUUAUUAAUAUCUUUACUGUUAAAUCUUUUUAUGUCAUCAAUCAUAUAAUUAUCCAUAUUUUUGUUUAUAUGGUUAUUCAGGUUUUCGUUCAUAUGACUGUCCAUAUUUUCGUUAAUUUGGUUAUUCACGUUUUCGUUAAUAUGGCUGUACAUGUCGUUCAUGUUAAUGUUGGUAGUAUCAGGGUUGGUUUUGUUACUAUUUACAUCGUUCGUUAUCAUUUCACAAUUAUUGUUAUACAUGUUUAAAUUUUUAUUAGUAUAUUCUUCAUUAUUUAUAUUACUAUCAUUAUAAUAUACCUGUGUGUUAUAAUUAUUCAAAGCAUUCAUGGUCAUUAUAUUCAAUAGUUCGUUCUUAUUAUAAUUAUUAUUAACAUAAUUAGAAAACUGUGAAAAUGAUUUUUCAUCUAUGUUAUUGUAUACUGGAUCUAUUUUUAAAUUAUUAUUAUUAUUAUUAUUAUUAUUAUUGUUAUUGUUAUUAUUAUUGUUAUUAUUAUUGUUAUUAUUAUUAUUAUUAUUAUUAUUGUUAUUAUUAUUGUUAUUAUUAUUGUUAUUAUUAUUGUUAUUAUUAUUGUUAUUAUUGUUAUUACUACUGUUGUUAUUAUUACUACUGUUGUUAUUGUUACUAUUAGUGUUAUUAUCAGUUGUAUUAUCAGUAGUAAAAUCAUUAUUCAUCAAAUUUUCAUAAAAGUUUUUUUGAAAAUUCAUAUUGUCAUUAUUCUUGUCAUUAUUCUUGUCAUUAUUCUUGUCAUUAUUAUUAUUAAUAUUAUUAAUAUUAUUGUUAUUAUUAUUAAUAUUAUUGUUAUUAUUAUUAAUAUUAUUGUUAAUAUUAUUAAUAUUAUUGUUAUUAUUAUUAAUAUUAUUGUCAUUAUUAUUGUUAUUAUUGUUAUUAUUGCUGUUGCUGCUGAUGUUGUUAUAACAUUGCAUACGAUCAUUUGGUAAAUCAUUAUUGUUAAACAAUUGUUUACUAAUAUUAGGAAAAUGCUUACUGUUUUUUUGUUCACGUGAAUUUAUAUAAGUAGAAAAAAAUAAUAUAAGUUUUAGCUUAGCUAUAAAGCCUAAAGAAGCUAAAACAUAUAAUCUUUUAAAUUUAUCUUUUUCCACUUCUGACAUAUGUUCAUAAUUAUGUAAAUUCAUGCGUAAAUAAGACAACUGAGCAGAAAUAGCACUAACUAACCCUUCUAUAAAAUCUACAUUUUUUAGUUCAAUCAUUAUAUUUUCACUAAUGUUUUGAUAAUUUAAUGCUUCC